AAUCGAAGCAGUGAACUUAAGCCCCAGUAAACGGCGGCCGUAACUAUAACGGUCCUAAGGUAGCGAAAUUCCUUGUCGGGUAAGUUCCGACCCGCACGAAAGGCGUAACGAUUUGGGCACUGUCUCAACAACAGACUCGGUGAAAUUGUAAUUCCGGUGAAGAUGCCGGAUACCUGCGACAGGACGGAAAGACCCCAUGGAGCUUUACUGUAGCUUGACAUUGGGUCUUGGUACUACAUGUACAGGAUAGGUGGGAGGCUUUGAAACCAGGACGCCAGUUUUGGCGGAGCCAUCCUUGGGAUACCACCCUUGUAGUACUGGGACUCUAACCAUAGGCCAUGAAUCUGGUCUUGGGACACUGUCAGGUGGGCAGUUUGACUGGGGCGGUCGCCUCCCAAAAGGUAACGGAGGCGCUCAAAGGUUCUCUCAGUACGGUCGGAAAUCGUACGUAGAGGGUAAAGGCAAAAGAGAGCUUGAUUGCAAGACAUACAGGGCGAGCAAGGAUGAAAAUCGGACUUAGUGAUCCGGUGGUUCUGCGUGGAAGGGCCAUCGCUCAACGGAUAAAAGCUACCCUGGGGAUAACAGGCUUAUCUCCCCCAAGAGUCCACAUCGACGGGGAGGUUUGGCACCUCGAUGUCGGCUCAUCACAUCCUGGGGCUGUAGUAGGUCCCAAGGGUUGGGCUGUUCGC
rnacentral:rRNA from 1 species